rnacentral:lncRNA from 1 species
UUUAAUUUUAAUACUUAUUUUAUUUAACACAAUAUACCCAAACUAUUAUCAUUUCAAUAUAUUAUCAAUACAAAAAUCAAUCAUAAAAUAUUUAACAUUUUUUCAUAUUAGGUCUUUAAAAUCCAUGUAUUUUUUACACUUAUAGUACAUCUCAACAUUGCAAUUCAGUUACUAAAUUUUCACCAGAAAAAUCCAUAUUUAGAUUUCAUACAGGUCACUGUUGAGAAAGUAGAUUCACACAUCCAAGUUUUUCCAAACAUAAAACAUUUUCUGAUAACUGAAUCAAAUAUGUUUUAAAUUUUUAAUUAAAAUUAAAUAAAUUUAAAAUUCCAUUCCUCAGCUGUACCACCUACCUUUACAAGCAUUCAAUAGCCACAUGUGGCCAAUGGCUACCAUAUUGGACAGCAAAGCUUCAGACAUCACGACCUGGGGCAUAGACUAAGGUCUCCUUGGCAGUGGUGGGUGGACAAAGUAUCCCUCAAGAAACACAUUUAAUCUCAAGGAAAUGCCUAUGGAGUUAGUCCCACCAUAGCCCCUUUGUCUCCUUUCACAGCUUUUCCAGAAUACUUUUGAGGGGUGAAGCACAUUCAUGUAACAAGCUUACUAUGAUGAGUACUUCCACAGCUUGUCCAAGCGUUAGCAUGCCAGUCCCUCAUCUUACCUGUUGGGAAGACUGCCCUCAGCUCAGCUGUGACAGCACAGGCUGCUGUGUGUGUGCUGAUGAGUGUGCAAAUGCAGCCAAGGACACGAGUGGGUGUUGUGUGCAGAAGUUUUGUGGACCAUGUGCAGGGAUGUAUGGUGCCACACCAUGGGGACAAUCUAAUGGAGGUUCUGCCCAGGGCGGGACAGCAGUUCAAAGAGAAGAACUGCAUUUAUUGAGGGCCUAUUCUAUGUCCGUGGCUUUAUAGAUAUUUUCUUAUUUAAUCCUUACGUCAACCCUAUAAAGUAGGGAGGCAUCUUAGCUGAUGAAACUAAAGGUCAAAUAGAGUAAAGUGCGCAAAGCUAGUUAGUAAAUAGUACCUAGCUAUUUGAGCUCACUGCUGUCUGACUGAAAACUCCCCCUUUCCACCACACUGCCAUCCUCACUGCCACGCCCUCACGGCUCUCUCUCCCAGGGCCUUUCAGUUGCAGGACAUGACCUGUAAGAAAGGGGAAAUUUUCCAACCCAUCCACUCUGAACUUUCAGGGGGGACUGGGCUCAGUUAUUGGUCCUCACCUUCUUCAUUAACUCAAAUGCACCUGAUUCAGGAGGUUGGGGUUUUUCUUUGUUUUCACUCUUUCCUCUCUCCGAAUGUCCCUACAGCCUCUGCCUCAGGGACUGGUAGAAAGGAGCAGAAAUUCCAGGGAGCAAAUGGACUGCAGUGAAAUGCCUGGCUUCCAGCAAAGGAUUCUCUGUAAUGGAGGCUUCAGAUUUCCUAGUUCUUUUCUGGGUUCUAACCUCAACAACCUCCGAGGUUAGAGAGAGGUUGCACAGAUUGGUGGAACAAUCUGUGAGCUAUUUCAGAUUGGAGAAGAAUUUGACUUUGCCUA